rnacentral:rRNA from 1 species
GGUUAAGCGACUAAGCGUACACGGUGGAUGCCCUGGCAGUCAGAGGCGAUGAAGGACGUGCUAAUCUGCGAAAAGCGCCGGCGAGGUGAUAUGAACCCUUGACCCGGCGAUGUCCGAAUGGGGAAACCCAGUGCAAUU